rnacentral:rRNA from 1 species
UACGAAGGGGGCUAGCGUUGUUCGGAAUUACUGGGCGUAAAGCGCGACGCAGGCGGUCCUUCAAGUCAGGGGUGAAAGCCCAGGGCUCAACCCUGGAAUGGCCUUUGAGACUAGAGGACUUGGGUACGGGAGAGGUGAGUGGAAUUCCGAGUGUAGAGGUGAAAUUCGUAGAUAUUCGGAAGAACACCAGUGGCGAAGGCGGCUCACUGGCCCGUUACCGACGCUCAGGCGCGACGAGCGAUGGGGAGCAAAGCAGG